rnacentral:misc_RNA from 1 species
UCUCCGUUGGUGAACCAGCGGAGGGAUCAUUGCUGGAACAAACGCCCUCACGGGUGCUACCCAGAAACCCUUUGUGAACUUAUACCUUACUGUUGCCUCGGCGCAUGCUGGCCCCCUGGGGGUCCCUCACUCCGGUGAGGAGCAGGCACGCCGGCGGCCAAGUUAACUCUUGUUUUUACACUGAAACUCUGAGAAAAAACACAAAUGAAUCAAAACUUUCAACAACGGAUCUCUUGGUUCUGGCAUCGAUGAAGAACGCAGC